ACCAUGGAUAACCUCCCUGUUCGUGCUGGAAAUUUCAAGGAGAUGAACGCCGCCCAUCAAGCAAAGAACACACGUUACAUGCUGUUAUCAAGUCUAGGACUGGUGGUUGUUCUGUACUAUGCCUGGCACAAAAGAGUGUUUACAACUCAUCAAAUGUUCCGCUAUCCCAAGAAUAUGUACGAAAAAUAAAUUGACAAUUAAAGUAAUAACUUUUGAAUGUAAACUAGUGGAAAAAUUACUGAAGAAAUAAAAACUGUGUUACCUUUG
rnacentral:misc_RNA from 1 species